GAUUGUUCAAAAUUGUACGUUCAAUAAUUUCAUCUGCCGACAUGAUUGCAGGAAAUAAAAAGUCGUAAAUAAAAAAAAAUCUGAAAGCAAAUAUUCAACAAUUUUAUGCCUUAACGUACAGUAAAAAUAUAUUAAUACUCAACCCUAACAUACUAUUUGGCUUAAUGCGAGUUGAUUAGUUUUCACUGUUUCUCCUAAAUGAUGGUCGUUUGGAACAUAUCAAAAAUGUAUGAUUGAUAAUUCUUUAACUUAAUUUCUGCAUACCAUUAUCAGAGUAACAAAUGAAAUAAUAUUUUUUGUAGUAAACCGUUCAUAUAACAACUGAGUUUAUUAACAUGGUUAUGCAUGUGCACAGUACUUUUAAAAUAGCUUGAUAAAAGUUCGUCUAAAUACUUGAGUUACGG
rnacentral:lncRNA from 1 species